GGGAAUCUACCUUUUGCUACGGGAUAGCUCCGGGAAACUGGAAUUAAUACCGUAUGUGCCCUUCGGGGGAAAGAUUUAUCGGCAAAGGAUGAGCCCGCGUUGGAUUAGCUAGUUGGUGGGGUAAAGGCCUACCAAGGCGACGAUCCAUAGCUGGUCUGAGAGGAUGAUCAGCCACAUUGGGACUGAGACACGGCCCAAACUCCUACGGGAGGCAGCAGUGGGGAAUAUUGGACAAUGGGCGCAAGCCUGAUCCAGCCAUGCCGCGUGAGUGAUGAAGGUCUUAGGAUUGUAAAGCUCUUUCAGUGGGGACGAUAAUGACGGUACCCACAGAAGAAGCCCCGGCUAACUUCGUGCCAGCAGCCGCGGUAAUACGAAGGGGGCUAGCGUUGUUCGGAAUUACUGGGCGUAAAGCGCACGUAGGCGGAUAUUUAAGUCAGGGGUGAAAUCCCGGGGCUCAACCCCGGAACUGCCUUUGAUACUGGGUAUCUUGAGUGUGGUAGAGGUGAGUGGAAUUGCGAGU
rnacentral:rRNA from 1 species